GCAAAAUCUACCUUUACAAUGUCACCUUCGGUCUCUACAUGCUUGAUUGGUGGGAACGAUACCUCUUCAAUGGUUUGGUGGUAGUCUUGAUGUGGUUCGUAGCUUACAACGGUACACGCUACUUUUCAGAGCUCUUCAAGAGGCAUCUGGCAUGAAAAUCAUGGAACCACCCAAGGCUUUACCACGUUUGGUUUCAAAUUUCUAAGACGUAACAAAACCUAUAUGCUGCUUCUUCACCUCUGAUUCUGUUGGCUUUCCUCCAAAGUUCGACAUCACCGAAGACUGUUCAAAAAUUGUCUCUGUGUCAUUUGUUACCAUGUUUUUUUGGAAUUAACACAACUUAUUUACAGACGCAUUAGAUCGCAAGCCUUUCUGUUGUAUUUCCCAAUCUCUUUGAAACAUUGCCAAACCAAUGCUAAAAAUGAUUGUGGUGUUUUGUAACUAGUGAAUACUACUUAUCAUUUUCAUCA